GUUAUAAACGUAGUGAUUGGUUAUUGCAUUGUCCAAUCACAUUGAUUGUACGCUGUUUUAAACCUUACAGCAGGCAGUGUUUUGUAAUUAACUUGAUGAAACGGCCAGGAGCUUGCAGGCCGAGAAAUGCAUUUUAAGCUCACAAUAAAUACUAUUUGAUUUUAUAUUGAACUAUCUAGAACCAUCUGUCUCCAGCUUUAUUAAGCCCUUAUUUUAUGCUGUCAACACAGUCGCUGAUUUUGAUUCAGCAGUUGCCUCUUCAAAAAACUGUUUGCAGUCAGAGUUGCUUAUACGGUAUCCAUCAGAAAAAAACUUGCACUGACUACCUGCACAUAAAGGGACUCCUGUGUUUCUGACUAUCGAGAGCUGACAGCGGAUCCUGUGACAGAUCACAAGCCUCUUCACUCCAGCGUACUGACUGCUUUAACAUCAGCCUGCCUGUUCGCACUUCUUUUAAUAAGAGUGCCAAUCUACUUAUUGAUGUUCUUGAGUAUAUUCAUGAACAUGAAUACGUACACGGAGAUAUCAAAGCCUCAAAUCUUCUUCUUCACUAUACAAAUCCAGACCAGGUGUACUUGGUCGAUUAUGGCCUAGCUUACAGAUAUUGUCCAGAAGGUGUUCACAAGGAGUACAAAGAAGACCCUAGGAAAUGUCAUGAUGGCACUAUAGAGCUUACAAGCAUUGAUGCCCACAAAGGAGUCAGUCCAUCAAGAAGAGGAGAUAUGGAAAUCUUAGGCUAUUGUAUGAUUCAGUGGUUGUGUGGUGAGCUUCCAUGGGAAGAUAAUCUAAAGGACCCCAAUUAUGUCACCAACUCAAAAAUUAGGUAU